GGUGUUUACAAGUCCAUAUGGUGGUUUAGAAGUGAUUUCAAGGUGUUUUAAGCAACAAUCAAGGCCCAAAUCACCAAAUUUUACUAAAAAUCAUUCAAGAACUUGAAGAAACGGUAAAAAUCGUGUUAAAUGUGUACUUGAGUUCGGCUUCGGGAAUAAUGGCGUAUCUUGUAGUUGUUGAUGCAUGUUUUGUUACUUAAAAUGUUGGACUGACUUUUAAAACUUUCUGGGACGAAUGUAAUAAGAUCCGUGAGGAUCAAAACAACUUAACUAUGUCGUGGUUGUGUCGUGUCUUAAAACGUAAUGUUUAAAUAACUUAC
rnacentral:lncRNA from 1 species